rnacentral:lncRNA from 1 species
CCGCCAAGUAUAGGAUAAAUUAGAUACAUACCAUUUAAAGUAUCACGGUUUAGAAAAUAUAUACCAUUACUAUUUAUAAUAUUAGAAACAUGUCAAUAUAAUUUCACAUAUUUCUAAACUAAAUUGACUUCAUCUAAACUAAAUUGGCUUCAUCUUCUUCUUUUUGUCCCUUUUUUUUUUCUAUUUCACCCCUGCAGCGGCCCACUGACUGGUUUCACAGUUGCGGCUUUGUUUAGUUCACCCUAAAAACCUAAAAUUUUUCAAGAUUCCCUGUCACAUCGAUUUUUACGGCACAUGCAUGAAGCACUAAAUAUAGACGAAAAUAAAAACUAAUUGCACAGUUUACCUGUAAAUCGCGAGAUGAAUCUUUUAAGCCUAGUUACUCUAUGAUUGGACAAUGUUUGUCAAAUAAAAACAAAAAUACUAUAGUUCUGAAAACCAAAAAAAUUUCGAAACUAAACAAGGCCUGCCAUGGUAUGCUGACCGGCAUAGUACCCGCGCACGUGAAGAUGGCUGC